AGUGAACGCUGGCGGUAGGCCUAACACAUGCAAGUCGAACGGCAGCACAGUAAGAGCUUGCUCUUACGGGUGGCGAGUGACGGACGGGUGAGGAAUACAUCGGAAUCUACUUUUUCGUGGGGGAUAACGUAGGGAAACUUACGCUAAUACCGCAUACGACCUACGGGUGAAAGCAGGGGAUCUUCGGACCUUGCGCGAUUGAAUGAGCCGAUGUCGGAUUAGCUAGUUGGCGGGGUAAAGGCCCACCAAGGCGACGAUCCGUAGCUGGUCUGAGAGGAUGAUCAGCCACACUGGAACUGAGACACGGUCCAGACUCCUACGGGAGGCAGCAGUGGGGAAUAUUGGACAAUGGGCGCAAGCCUGAUCCAGCCAUACCGCGUGGGUGAAGAAGGCCUUCGGGUUGUAAAGCCCUUUUGUUGGGAAAGAAAAGCAGCAGGUUAAUACCCCGCUGUUCUGACGGUACCCAAAGAAUAAGCACCGGCUAACUUCGU
rnacentral:rRNA from 1 species